CGAAAUGAAUUUGCGCUGACACUCCCCACCUACACGGCCUCCAACCAGGAGCUGCUCUUUAAUGCCCGCAUUCAAUGCCCUCCCUUCCCUCUCCCUCCCUGCCUCUCUCUCUCUCUCGCCGAGCAGAGAGCGCCGCUCCUCAGUCAAGUCAAGGCCGCUGCCGCAGCGCUCUCGGUGGUCCGGCGACUCAUCCGAGCACUUCUCCUGGAAUCUUCUCAGCAUGACCUCCCAAUGGCCCAAGUUCCAAGAAAUGGACCAUGUGCUGGUUCUAGCAGUUUGCUUCCUGGCCUUGCUGCCAGGCUGGUCCUGUGGCCUUGGCUCCAUGUCAUCCAUCGCAGUGGCUUAUGGUGAGGAUGGUCCGGUGUUCUGUGCCUUGAGCUUGACCUCCGAUGGAUCCCACAUCGUCACCUGCUUUGGCACAGAUGCCUCUGUUCUGUAUGGUGCUCCUCCCAAUAUCCCUUUCCUCGGCCUUACAGCAGGGGAUGGAUUUGUGUGUGGCCUCUUGCUUGACUCCAGACAGCCAUACUGCUGGGGGAGCAACUCCUAUGUCAAGAGUGGCGUGCCACAGCCAAUGAUUGAGGGUGCUAAGUAUUCUGAGCUGAGCGCAGGGGACAACCACCUUUUUGCGCUGCGAGCAGCUGCAAAUGAAAUCCAUGGUCCUAAUGCUGCUAUGUCGUCGUUGAUUGACUGCUGGGCAUACAAUAUGACUGCCACACAUGUUAUUGAUGAAGCUGUGUCUACCAUCUCGGCCGGUUCGGUGUUCAAUUGCGGCUUGUUUGCACGGAACAAGACAGUAUUUUGCUGGGGUGAUGAAACAGUGAGCGGUAUUGUCGGACUAGCACCGAGGAAUGUGCGCUUUAAGUCCAUAGGAGCAGGUGGUUACCAUGUCUGUGGGGUUUUGGAGAAUGCACGUGUGUUGUGCUGGGGCAGGACCGCAGGAGCUUGGAAAUGCAGCAAGUGGCACCAGCCAGUGCUAUUGGUGAUGGGGAUGUGAACAUAGUGCCAAUGGAUGCGAUCGUCUCUGUAGUCGGUGGACGGUUUCAUGCCUGUGGCAUCAGGAGCCUUGAUCGCCAAGUAGCUUGCUGGGGUUUUGCACUUCGUAACAGUACGUCGCCACCAAAAGGGCAGAAGAUGUAUGCACUUGUGGCUGGGGACUACUUUACCUGUGGAGUGCCUGCUGAGACAUCACUGAUGCCCAGGUGCUGGGGCAACAGCGGGCCAAUGGCACUACCAAUGGCAGUACCACCUGGAAUUUGUGUACCUAAUGCAUGUAGUCAUGGGUACUACAAUUAUGAGAACCAUGGUGAAGUUGGCAGCAGCAAGGUUUGCAAGCCUGCAAAUUCUAGACUCUGUUUGCCCUGUAGUGCAGGAUGCCCAGAGGACUGGUACGAGUCAUCACCUUGCAAUGCCACGGCUGACCGUGUUUGCCAGUAUGAUUGCUCAAAGUGUGUCACAGGUGAGUGCAUAUCAUUUUGCUUAUCCCAGAAACAGACCAAGAGCCGGAAGUUGAUAGCCUUUCAGCUGCGUAUCUUUGUAGCUGAGAUUGUGUUUGCCAUCAUCUUGGUACUUAGUGUGUCAUUAAUUGCAUGGCUGUAUGUACGACACAAACUUCAGCAUUGCCAAUGUUCAAAUAACGAGUUGAGACUGGCGAAGAGCACAGCAUAUGCCUUCCGGAAGGAUAACAUGGGGAUUCAGCCUGAUAUGGAGGAUUUGAAGAUCAGGAGGGCUCAGGAAUUCUCCUACGAAGAGUUAGAGCAAGCAACCAGCGGCUUUUCAGAGGAUUCACAAGUUGGAAAAGGCAGCUUUUCAUGUGUGUUCAAGGGCAUAUUGAGAGAUGGGACAGUGGUUGCUGUGAAGCGUGUGAUAAAAGCAGCAGAUAUGAAGAAGAGCUCCAAGGAGUUCCACAAUGAACUUGACCUCCUCUCCAGGCUCAACCAUGCACAUUUGCUCAACCUUCUUGGUUACUGUAAGGAUGGCAGUGAGAGGCUAUUGGUUUAUGAGUUCAUGGCCCAUGGAUCCCUGUACCAGCAUCUGCAUGGCAAGGAUCCAAAUUUGAAAAAGCAGCUGAAUUGGGCAAGGCGGGUCACAAUUGCUGUCCAGGCUGCCAGGGGAAUUGAAUACCUCCAUGGCUAUGCUUGCCCUCCUGUAAUUCACCGAGACAUCAAGUCAUCAAACAUAUUGAUUGAUGAGGAUCACAAUGCACGUGUUGCCGACUUUGGCCUAUCUAUAUUAGGUCCCGCUGAUAGCGGCACCCCAUUGUCCGAGCUGCCAGCAGGGACACUUGGCUACCUUGAUCCAGAGUACUACCGUCUCCAUUACUUGACUACAAAGUCCGAUGUCUACAACUUCGGAGUUGUUCUCCUUGAGAUCCUAAGUGGCAGGAAAGCAAUUGACAUGCAGUUUGAGGAAGGGAACAUUGUUGAAUGGGCAGUGCCACUGAUCAAAGCAGGGGACAUCUUUGCAAUCCUUGAUCCAGUCUUAUCUCCUCCAUCGGACCUUGAAGCUCUCAAGAAGAUUGCUUCUGUGGCUUGCAAGUGUGUCAGAAUGCGAGGGAAAGAUCGGCCUUUGAUGGACAAGGUGACAACAGCGCUAGAGCAUGCCCUUGCACUGCUGAUGGGCAGUCCGUGUGUCGAGCAGCCCAUCCUGCCGACUGAGGUUGUUCUUGGAAGCAGCCGCAUGCACAAGGUAUCACAGAUGUCCUCGAACCAAUCUUGCUCAGAGAACGAGCUUGCCGAGGGGGAGGACCAGAGGAUCGAGUACAGAGCACCGUCUUGGAUAACAUUUCCCAGUGUGGCCUCAUCACAAAGGAGGAAAUCAUCUGCAUCAGAGGCUGAUAUUCCUGGUCGAACAACCACAGAUGGUAGGAACAUCGGGAGCAGUAUAGGUGAUGGUCUGCGGUCGUUGGAGGAAGAGAUUGGCCCGGCCUCGCCACAGGAGAACCUGUACUUGCAGAACAAUUUCUGAAGAAAUGUCUUGAUUUUCUGCUUAUUUCUCCCCACCAUUUGAAGUUUACACUUGCUUACCUGUUGCUAUAUGGAAAGGCUUACUGUUUAUACAUCCUAUAGUGGUGGGGCAUUUAAAAACUGAGGUAGCUAUAGUUUGUACAGUAAGUGAACAAAAUCUAGCAUCCAAGGGCAUUCCUCUGUAGAUUUAUCCAGUCUUUUCAUCCCUUUUUUUUUUCUCUUGGGGGCUAGUUACCUGUUCGUGGCUUCAGUUGAUGGGUUAUCUUCCAUGAUUGGCUUACAGAAUUGUGUAGGUUCCACAAUCCUUAGAAUAUUUGGGUUCGUGAUGUUGCUCUAGUAAAAAAAUGGUUGAAUUGUCGUGCUAGCCUGUGAAAUCAUUAGGUUAUCCAAGAUCAAAUGUUGCCCACAUAUUUUUACAUGUGUUCUUGUCGAUUCUUCGGUUGCUUGAUUUCUGAUUCUCAGUAACAGGUUGGUUGCCCCAGUCUUCUUCAGUAACAGGGAUGUAGUUGUCAGGAAUGACUGCUGCCAUGUUCCAUGGCCUGUUUGCUGUUUUCAGCGUAAUGAAAGCUGGUUCUUGUUAACCAAUCAAUGUUGCUCUGACCUAACAAACUCGCCAUUAUGUCUGUUGACAAUGCUUCAUUCAGAAGUCAUCUUUGCUAGACCGUACGUACUGAAUGAGUUCUGUUGCUUUUGCGACAGAGGAUACCCAUCAAUAAUGUCUCGGCUUGCAUCUUAGAUACUUCUUGUUCGCAUGCCGUGUACAAAACUUGCUUUGCUUAAUUUAUUUUUUCUACAAAUAUUGACUUUCUUUCAUAGAUGCUCUUAUUUUCAGUGAUACAGUGAACUCAUGGUAUGCAUCCUAUUAUUUCCCUAAAAUAAAUUGUAAGCUACUUUGGACCCUCAGAUGCAGUUCCUGAGUGUAAACCCGAUAACUUUUGUUUGCGA